rnacentral:rRNA from 1 species
GAUGAACGCUGGCGGCGUGCCUAAUACAUGCAAGUCGAGCGAACGGACGAGAAGCUUGCUUUUCUGAUGUUAGCGGCGGACGGGUGAGUAACACGUGGAUAACCUACCUAUAAGACUGGGAUAACUUCGGGAAACCGGAGCUAAUACCGGAUAAUAUUUUGAACCGCAUGGUUCAAUAGUGAAAGACGGUUUUGCUGUCACUUAUAGAUGGAUCCGCGCUGCAUUAGCUAGUUGGUAAGGUAACGGCUUACCAAGGCAACGAUGCAUAGCCGACCUGAGAGGGUGAUCGGCCACACUGGAACUGAGACACGGUCCAGACUCCUACGGGAGGCAGCAGUAGGGAAUCUUCCGCAAUGGGCGAAAGCCUGACGGAGCAACGCCGCGUGAGUGAUGAAGGUCUUCGGAUCGUAAAACUCUGUUAUUAGGGAAGAACAAAUGUGUAAGUAACUGUGCACGUCUUGACGGUACCUAAUCAGAAAGCCACGGCUAACUACGUG